ACAUCGUCUAGACUAGUGAAGAAAGGUCGAUGGACUGAC
rnacentral:snoRNA from 2 species